UUGUUUUCCUUGUCCGAGCUGUCAUCUGUGAGGAUUCUGUGGUUUAGUUUUGAUUUUGUUAUAUUUGACCAUGUUCUAAGUUAUCAGUCACACCAGUUUCAGGUUUGUCAUGAUCCACAGCUGUCUCAAGUUCCGUUAAUUGCCCCCAGCUUAUUUAAAUGUCUGGUGUUCAGUUAUUCCUUGCGCUGCUCUGUCAUGUUCUGCCACUGUUUUAGGUCUCCAUGUUUUUUUUUUUUUUGUCAUGUUUCAGUUAAUUAAAUAUUUUAAGUUUUUGCCAUCAAGCCCGGUCUCCUACGUUUGGGUCCUCCACCAUCAGUUCCUGACCGCAUCCGACUCCAAGGGAGGAGAUGAGGUUUGCGGAAUACCUCCACACAGCCGAGGCCCGUCAACACUUGAGGAGUGGAGGACAGACGCAGAAUGGUGUUCGUGACAGUGUGGGAAUGAGUCGUUCGCCGUGGUCCAGCACCGUGACAGUGGGAACUGCCUCUCAAUUUGAGCAAAGAUCACCACACUUUCGUUUCUGGAAGAACUCCUGCUUUUUCCCGAGGAACACAGAAAUGUUUCCAGCUAUGAAAUCCUUCCAGAGUCCUGGAGCUGCCAGAAAAAUUUGACGUGUGUGAAGCGUCUCCGUUCUGACAGGUCAGAAUCAAAUCAAUCCAACAUGUUUGGUGGAUUUCCAUUCUCUUAGUCAAAUUGUACCGUUACAUCAUAACUGCAGUGAAUUAAGUUAAACUUUGUGAUGAAGUUUGAGCUGCAGCUGCUAAAGCUGUAGAAAAAGAUCUUUUACAAACAUGACAAAACCUUUUUGCUCAGUUAACAGACCCUGAAGUGAGAAAAUAAUUCAAUUUAAUUUCAUAUAUUUGGUAAAAAUUCAAAAAGAAGUCUCAUUUAAACUCACAAAAGCAUAAAAUACAACAAUUCAGCACCAUUUAUGUCCAUAUUUCAAUAUUUUAAAUGCAGAAAAAGAGAGAAACUAUUUCCCUGCAUUUAUUUUAAAUUAACAUUAAUGCCAUUUCAAAAUUUAAUAAUUUUAAAAGACAGCAUUCACUUAUGUAUUUUAAAUGGUAUAAACUCACUUUGAGCACUUUUCAGUAACAGUCAUAUUCACACAUUUGUGCUCACCUAUUACGGCCAGGACCAUCGUGGGGCUCAGUGUCUUUGGACACUUCGACAACCAAACCUGCAAUCUGCAGGUCAAAGGUGAACACUCCAUCUCUGCACCACGACAAUAGAUGCCAUUUCCAUGUUUAACCUUCCUGGAGAAAUUUACUUUACAUAUAGAUGUAAUUACAAUUACAUAAAAAAAACUCUGUAUUCAGAAAUGGAAUCUCGUCUGAGUCUAUGUGUGAAGGACAUGGUUAAAUUAGAAAAAAAGAAGCUUUAACAUGUGCUUCCAACACAUUUCUUCAAUUUAUCAUCCCUUACCGACAUCUUUUAUAGUGAUUAUUUCUUUUUAUUUUACCCCAGAUGACUUCAUUCUUCUUUCAUGAAAAUGGACCGUAUUCUUUCCACCCAGAGUCUGUUUUCCAUUGUCAGAGGUGGUUGUGAGGCAGGUCUGCAAAAAUAAAAAAAAAAAAAGGAAGAAAGAAGUCUUUGGUGUUUGUGUUUAUAUGUGUCAGCGUCUGUGGGCAAAUUUAUAGCUUACAGUUGCAGACAGUUUAUGUGUGCAGACGUUGCUUGAAAUCCACUUGGGUCGGUUGUCUGAAACACUAUUCCAAUACGACAACAAGAAGAAAAGUCAAAGAGGCUCUUGUUUCUCUGCGGAUCCAUCAAGCCUGACUGUAUUCAUCUCAACACAGCGCAGUAUCAGCACAACCACACAACACUGUCUACACGUUUGCCACCCUAUACUCUCUGAGUCUCCCUUUCAGAAGCGGUUAAAGCAGCACUUACUGAAAUCAGUGAUUGUUAGAGCUGCAUGUUGGUGAGCAGUAAAAGUCCUUUCUGUUUGUUUGUCUUUGAGUAUUCCUGUUGUGUUGCUGUAAGACAGAUGCUGCUGCCUCUUACAUGUCCUGUGGGAGUCCUUCAUGUUUAUUUCAUCAGAUCGAGUAUUGCAGAACAAUCUUUGCUCUGUUUUCUUUAAAGGUUCCACAGUUACUUCAUUUUCCUCUACGAGAAUGCGCAAUCAAGUCGAGAUUAUGCACAACAAUAAACCAAUCGUUUACAAUGUGUGAACAACUUUGUUUGCACGUCAUUGCAAUGGCAACAUUUAAUGAGGUGUUUGAAGCUGAAAUUAUUUUUCCUUUUCUCCCUUACCAUAUGCCGUCUUUUUUUACAUUGUUCAUUAACAUCUGCAUUUGCGAUUAAAGUGGCUCUAAGGUAAUAACA